UACGAAGGGGGCUAGCGUUGUUCGGAAUUACUGGGCGUAAAGCGCGUGUAGGCGGGUCUUUAAGUCAGGGGUGAAAUGCCAGGGCUCAACCUUGGAACUGCCUUUGAUACUGGAGACCUUGAGUCCGGGAGAGGUGAGUGGAAUUGCGAGUGUAGAGGUGAAAUUCGUAGAUAUUCGCAAGAACACCAGUGGCGAAGGCGGCUCACUGGCCCGGGAACUGACGCUGAGACGCGAAAGCGUGGGGAGCAAACAGG
rnacentral:rRNA from 1 species